GAUGAACGCUAGCGGCAGGCUUAACACAUGCAAGUCGAGGGGCAGCAUAAUGAAGUAGCAAUACGGAAUUGAUGGCGACCGGCGCACGGGUGCGUAACGCGUAUGUAACCUACCUUUAACAGGGGGAUAACACUGAGAAAUUGGUACUAAUACCCCAUAACACCUUAAGAGGCAUCUUUUGAGGUUGAAAGUUCCGGCGGUUAGAGAUGGACAUGCGUUGUAUUAGCUAGAUGGUGAGGUAACGGCUCACCAUGGCGACGAUACAUAGGGGACUGAGAGGUUAACCCCCACACUGGUACUGAGACACGGACCAGACUCCUACGGAGGCAGCAGUGAGGAAUAUUGGUCAAUGGACGCAAGUCUGAACCAGCCAUGCCGCGUGCAGGAAGACGGCUCUAUGAGUUGUAAACUGCUUUUGUACAAGGGUAACCUCGGCACGUGUACCGAGCUGAAAGUACUGUACGAAUAAGGAUCGGUCUAAACUCCGUGCCAGCA
rnacentral:rRNA from 1 species